UCUGGGUCUCAUGGCUGUUCGCUGUGACCGGCUUCAUACUUCGAAUGUUGGUGUUAACGCGCCUNCAAACGUGGUGUUGCUGAUCUAGUGUUAUGGUCGUGUAACCUUNCUGUCGUGUCUGUGUCUUUCNUCGGAAAGUGCAGGUGUUGGUCUUCUGUGUGUCGCNAGAUGUGCAGUUGGNUGGCAUGCUUUCAGGUGNUCUUUANUGGAUGCUUGUAGCGGGCGGCAAGUUUACUUNGAACAAAUUUGAGUGCUCGAAGCAGGCCGUAGAGCCUGAAAAGUCUUGCAUGGAAUAAUGAAAUAGGACUUCGGNUCUAUUUUGUUGUAUUCGNAUCCGGCCNAAU
rnacentral:rRNA from 1 species